AGAAUUUAUCAUUUCAACCCGAGGAAAAUAGAAUUGACAAAUCAACAAAAUCCCUGAAAUUUAAGGUGUCUGUAUUUCUGAAGACCCAACUUUUGGUAAGAGGGAAACUGUGUUCACAGAGCAGCAUUGUGAUUCACAACUUUUAACAAUGAAGCAGCACAGGAAGUAACAGUCUGAUUUGGAAAGUUAUUGUCUGGAGGCUGUGUUUGCAUAAAGCAGGUAGUGACAACCUGCAUUUUCCAGUGUAGAGGGAAAAAAAUCCUUCACAGAAAAGGAAGGCAGUUUGCUCUUGUGAGUCAUCAGGAGCUGGGUGCUGAAGGAAGAAGACAUUCUUGAGGAAAAAGUUUCUGGCAUGAGGAGAAGCAGUGCUGUACUGUGGGUAUGGUUUCACUAGGA